GGGCCAUAAAAACACACCUUCACAACAUGAUGAUUAAAACAGGCAAUUAUGGUCUCCUUAAGAAACCAGCACAGAAAAACCCAUCAGCGAUACUUUGACCUUUAUUAUAGCGAAAGAUGAUGACAUGAGACAUUACAAUAACCCAUCACCGAACAGUCAUUCAGGUAGGUAAACAGUCAUUCAGGUAUGUAAACAGUCAUUCAGGGUCGUAAACAGUCAUUCAGGUAGGUAAACAGUCAUUCAGGUAGGUAAACAGUCAUUCAGGUAGGUAAACAGUCAUUCAGGUACGUAAACAGUCAUUCAGGUGGGUAAACAUUCAUUCAGGGACAUAAACAGUCAUUCAGGUAUGUAAGAUGGACUAUAGCCUUCUAAACUUUAGCUACAGUAUUGUGUCCAAUAAUAAACAAACAAGAUUCAAUGACUUCUCAAGCCGUGAUGCAGUAUAAUUGUAGUACAGAUAUCUGAUCUUAUUUUAAUGUUUCUCUUGCGAAACAACAAUAUAAAGCACUAAGUCAGUUUUAAUGUCGUUGUGAAACCCUGCCCGGUGAAAUACGUCUGGAGGGCUCUAACUAACUACAGUGCUUUAUGUGCUCGGCUCUCAGCCAAGUUAUUUAAUAACCUUUUUCUUGUGGAGACCGGCGAUAUGUCCCCACUUGUCCAAACGUUCCUUGUUUUUACUGCCCUUGUGGAUCAACUGAAGGGCUAGGUUAGGGUUAAGGUUAGGGUUAGGGGUUAAGGGUUAAGGUUAGGGUUAAGGGUUAAGGUUAGGGUUAGGUUUAGGGGAUAAGGUUAGGGGUUAAGGUUAGGGGUUAAGUUUAGGGUUAGGGGUUAAGGUUAAGUUUAGGGGUUAAGUUUAGGGUUAGGUUUAGGGUUAGGGGUUAAGGUUAGGGUUAGGGGUUAGGUUAAGGGUUAGGUUAAGGGUUUAAGGUUAGGGUUAGGGGUUAAGGUUAGGUUAAGGAUUAGGGGUUAAGGUUAGGGUUAAGGUUAGGAGUUAAGGUUAGGGUUAGGUUUAGGGUUAGGGGUUAGGGUUAGGUGUUAAGGUUAGGUUUAGGAUUAGGGGUUCAGGUUAGGUUAGGUUUAGGGUUAGGGUUUAAGGUAACGGGUUAAGGUUAGGGUUAGGGGUUAAGGGAUAGGUUAAAGAGCUAUGGAAAAUAAGGAUUUUGAAUGGUAAUUGUUAAGGAUAGUAUGUGUCCUUGUGGGCAUCAAAAAAGUAUUCAGACCCCUUGACUUCUUCUACAUUUUGUUACGUUACGGUCUUAUUCUAAAAUGGAUUCAAUUGUUU
ensembl:lncRNA